rnacentral:rRNA from 1 species
UCCCCAAUAGCUAGCCCAACUCUAAAAUUCAACAACCCCCAUUAAUACCCCCUCACUUACAAGCCCAUUAGAAACAAACCAUUUUACCCCCCAAGUAUGUGUGACAAAAAAGGAACUAUGGCGCAAUAGAAAAAGUACCGCAAGGGAAAGCUGAAAGAGAAGUGAAACAACCCAGUAAAGGAAAAAGAAGCAGAGAUUAAAUCUCGUACCUUUUGCAUCAUGAAUUAGUCAGAACAUUCAGGCAAAGAGAGCUUUAUGUCUGAAACCCCGAAACUAAGCGAGCUACUCCGAGACAACCUAAAUAGGGUAAACCCGUCUCUGUGGCAAAAGAGUGGGAAGAGCUCUGAGUAGAGGUGACAGACCUACCGAGCUUAGUUAUAGCUGGUUGCCUAAGAAUUGAAUAGAAGUUCGACCUUUUCCCUUCUUUCAUCAAUCAAGGAGCCCCUUUUAAAGAACCAAAGAACGGGCAAAAGAGCUAUUCAAGGGAGGGACAGCUCUCUUGAAUAAAGACACAACUUUAAUAGAAGGUUAAAGAUCAAAUGAUAUAAGGACAAGUACCCAAGUGGGCCUAAAAGCAGCCACCCUAAAAGAAAGCGUUAAAGCUCAAGUACACGACCCCUAUAAUUAGGACAAAAAAAUCUUAUUCCCCUUUAUAUAUUAGGCCCUUCCCUGCGUACAGGGAAGAGAAACUGCUAACAUGAGUAAUAAGAGAGCCUAGCCUCUCUCGAAAACCCCCGUGUAAGUCAGAACGAACUAGCACUGAAAACUAACGCCCCCAAUCACAGAGGGAACUGUAGGCAUACUAAAUAAAGCUAGAAAACCCCACAAGAGCAAGCGUUAACCCCACACAGGAGUGUUUUACGAAAGACAUAAGGAAAAAGAAGGAACUCGGCAAACACUGGCCUCGCCUGUUUACCAAAAACAUCGCCUCUUGCUUAUUAUAUAUAAGAGGUCCCGCCUGCCCUGUGACGAAAGUUUAACGGCCGCGGUAUUUUGACCGUGCGAAGGUAGCGUAAUCACUUGUCUUUUAAAUAAGGACCAGUAUGAAUGGCAUAACGAGGGCUAAGCUGUCUCCUUUUUCUAGUCAAUGAAAUUGAUCUGCCCGUGCAGAAGCGGGCAUAAUAACAUAAGACGAGAAGACCCUAUGGAGCUUAAGACACUAGGUUAGCCUACGUUAAAAAUCCUGGAAUAUUAGGAGUAAACCAAGUAACCUCUAUCCUCCUGUCUUUGGUUGGGGCGACCGCGGAGUAAAAAUAAACCCCCACGUGGAAAGGGUGACCCCCCUGAGCCUAGAGCUACAGCUCUGGAAAGCAGAACAUCUGACCAAUAAGAUCCGGCAAUGCCGAUCAACGGACCCAGUUACCCUAGGGAUAACAGCGCAAUCCCCUUUUAGAGCCCAUAUCGACAAGGGGGUUUACGACCUCGAUGUUGGAUCAGGACUUCCUAAUGGUGCAGCCGCUAUUAAGGGUUC